AAGUCGUAACAAGGUUUCCGUAGGUGAACCUGCGGAAGGAUCAUUAAUGAAAGAUAAUUUUUUGGGGUUUUCCCUGAAAAAUAAUUCACCUUUUGUGCAUUGUUAUUUAGAUAUACUUUGGUUAGUGCUUUGGUUCCAAAGCAACUGGAAUCAACUUCUUGCUGACUCUAUCCUUUCUAAGGACAGUUGGCUAUGAAGCGGCCUACCAAGGUUUUUUAUCAAACUCUUGUAUUUGUCUGACCUAAACUAUUAUAAUUAAAUCAUAACUUUCAACAACGGAUCUCUUGGCUCUC
rnacentral:misc_RNA from 1 species